GCGGCACUGGGCAGAGGCGCGCGUGUUGCCGGUGUACUGAAGCUGCCCGCGACCGGCGGGAGCGGCGUUUCUCGCUUCCUCGGGGUCCGGUACUCGAAGCGCACGGCAGUCUGACCUCGGCUGGGAAGCGUUAAGCCCCAGCAGAGGGCUGGGAGGGAGUGCAGGAGCACUUGCGGGGUCUGCGCAGAAUACACAGAAGAUCGGGGCAACGAGCAAAGCAAAGCAACUCACCAAACAAUGAAGUUAGGAGAACCCAAUCCCGUGAAAUGAGCGGAACAAGGGAAUAACAGUGCAAAGGCAGCUUGAACAGGCACUACUUCAAUCCCUAAACUUCUCAUGGCAUGGAUUCCUAGGAAAGAGGAUCUUAACUCCUACAGUUUUUCUUUCAAGCUGUAAACUCUGCAGCCACCUUGGUCCUGGGAAUAUGCAUCUCAAACAUGCAAAUGACCCUUGAUUGGAUGGACCUAGGGAAGAUGCCUGAUCAAGCCCUGGAAGCGAGUUAUGGGACCAACAUUUGAGCAGGAAAUUUCAUGAUCUCAGGCCUUCAGACCAGGACUGGAAUCUACACCACUGGCUCUUCAGCUCCCAGACUUUCAAACUUUGUCACCAGCUUUACUGGGUCUCCAGCUUGUACAUGACAGAUUGUGGGACUUCUCAGCCUCCACAAUUGCAUGAGUUGAUACUUUAUAAUAAAUAUCUUUAUGUAUAUCCAUCCUACUGGCUGUUUCUCUGGCAAACCCUGACUAAUAUACACUUCUUAAAGUC
ensembl:lncRNA novel transcript